ACCUGGGCAGGGACCUGUGCGGGCACCUGGGCAGGGACCUGUGCCGGCCCCUCUCCUCGGGCACUGCCCCGAUCCCAGGAAAAACGCCCCCAAACGCCAGGACCCACGGCGCCCGCUCUGCCCUCUCCCCUCCGAGGAACCGAGCACCGGCCCCCGGCGGGUGUUUCAAAGACAAGUGUUCGUGAAGAGCAAGGUCAGUCCCGGGACUGAGAACUUUACUCGGGUGCGACGGUGGAUUUAAGAUUUAAUUCCAGCAGUCAGCCCCGCGGCCGGGGCAGAGGGAUAACCGGGGAUGCACCACCGUAAAACAGUCCCGAGGCUUCCCUGGAAGAUCCUGACAGUUUCGGGAAGGCUCUGUUACUCUCCAGUCAUUUCCAGGGUAAAUUUAUCCACCACUGAGGGAGAAGCCCAGCGGCUCCUGCCCCCGUGGAAAGGGUGCCGAGAGGAAGAGCUGCAGCCCAAGGCCGGCUGAACACCCGAGGUUAAAACCAGAGUAUGUUUGCUCAGCAGGUACCCGAAGGAGUGACCCCGAGGUUUGCUCUCCCGUUUUGCUCUGUCGGCUCCUUUGCGUUUACAGGUCUUUUGGAAUCCAACAAGAGGACUGCAGUUGAGAGAGAAGCAGGGAUACACAUCACCAGAAGGUUGUGUUCCAGCAGUGGGGAAGCUUCAGGAAGCUGCUAAAAGUGUUCUACAUUGCAUUUUAUUCUGACCAGACUUCACGUGAGUGAUCAAAUGAGAGGCCAUUAUUUGUUGUAUUUCCGAGGAAGUAAUAUUUUUGCUACUUGUAAGUGACUAUUUGUAAUUUUUGCUAUUAUAGUAAGCACCUAUCCAAUCAAUCUUGAUUUUUAAAUCUCUUUUAGUCUCUUGAACAAAUACGUUUACAAGAAAAAUCAGGUUUGUUUAGAAUCAUGGAAUGAUUUAGACUGGAAGGGACUUUGAAGGUCAUCUGGUCCAACCUCCUACUCAAAGCAGACCUAACCUACUAAGAUGGGUUGGUUUUCUAUUAGUUUUUUUUUUAUUAUUUCAAUAGCAGUAUUUUAUGGCAAUAGUUCUUGUUGAAGAGCAUAUUCUAAACCACUUUCCAUUUACUAAUUUCCCCUGUUAACUUUGCUGCUAUAAAUAUAUGCUGUAGUCACCUUUGGAAUCAACAAUCCCUGUCCACAAUUUAUUCUCUUGCCUCUUGCAUUGACAAUGGCAAAGAAUAGAGACUAACCUGAAUAUGCAGAGUAAAAUACAGUUUGGAAAAUGGGGUUUAUUAUCCCAUAUUCUGAAGAAUGACCAUACCUCAGUCCAGGAUUAUUGCUUUGAAGCUAAAGGAAAUUAAACCAUUCUUCUACCUUUAGGCCCAAAAGACAAUGACUUCAUUUCCGUGUGUUUCCAGAGACAAUGAGCUGCUGAUCUUUGAUUCUUCUCAACUUAUAGGACAGCUGAACAAAACGUAAAAACCAAAGGCCUGGCUUUGCUCUCAGCUGUUCUGGUAUAAUCCAAGCUCAGCUUCCCUGGUGUUAAUGAAUUUAUUCCAGUUUUACUGUGCUGUGAUCAAACCAGAAUGUAUUGUAUAGUUUGUAUGAAAGAAUUGGGCCAUUUUCUUCUGUUUUCAGAUGAUGAGCUGUCUGUUAGUUGGUCUGUAGCCUCCCUUUCUCAUCCUUUCCCUAUUCUAUAAUUUAAAAAAAAAUGUGUAUUUGCAAAAGAACAACGACAAACUCUACCUGAAAAACUGUUUUACGCAGUCUUGCAAACUCUUGUUUUUUAAAGAGAAGCCCCCUGCAGAUCCUGAAACCUGGGAAGGAUCCUGUGGAGGAUUUGGCCAUGUUUAGAAAGCAUCCAGAGUAGCUAUGACAACUUCAUGUCCAGGGGCCAAGAUCGUGUCCACAUACCAAAUCCCUGACACUAUGCAAGAUCCUUAUCCAACCUAAAGAGGAAACUGUAAAAUUAGAAUUGCCUAAAAUAACCCCUAGAGAGACUAUUGCCGGUUCUUGAGAAGAGUUGGGGUUUUUUUUGACAUCUCAAAUACAGCUUUUUCUUAAAAUGUCUGAAACAGGAAACUUGUGAAAGAAAAGAAAAUAAUGAAAUGAAUAAGGUAUCCACAACCCUGGAAAAACAGGUUCCCAGCUAGGUCCUUUUUUUGUUAUUUGCUGUGAUUUCUUUAACCUUCUUUGAUCAGUUAAAUGGACUUGGAGUGUUAUAGAAGCCUCUGAAAUAUAUCAAUAUCAUUUUCUUGGGUUUAUAUUUGAAAUGGGAGUGGUAUCCAAGGUGGGUUUCAGCUCCCUCUGGUCUGGACGAGCUGGGAUUAAUGCUGAGUGCAGCAAGGGAGGCUGAUCUCAGCACAGGGAGGUGAUCAGGGUCUGAUCCAUUACCUGGUCCAGGCAGUUCAGAUGCUCACUGUAUUUUUUUGAUAUUACAUGUGGAAGUGAAGCAUUCAACUGAUAGAAAUCUGCUUUUCCAUGCAAUGAAUAUGUUGGCUACAGCACCUGCAGCCUCGUGCUUUCUGGUAAAAGCUGAGCUCUGUGUUAAUUCUCUUAGUUAUUGAUUGGUAAUAUUGUUUCUGCUUCCUGUCUCUGCAGUGAGGUUUUUACAUCCUGCCUGUAGUUGAUCCCUUCCUGUUUCUCUGGAUAUGGCAAGGUUCUGCAAAGCAGGUUUUUAUAAAGGAAGAGAGACCUGCAAAAUGCAUUACUAAAGGUACUGAUUUAAAAAACCAGGUGCACAAAUGAUGUUUGGGUUUAAGUAGCCAGGAGGAGGUUUUGAACAUUGGCUCAGGCAGAACCAAACUCAAACAUUUUAAUAAUGGCAUAUUAACAUAACUGCCUUAUGCAAAAUAUUCCUGGCUGCUUUUUAUGAAAGUAAACAGAAAGAGUGAUAUAUCUGGAUAAAGAGGAGCAGAUGGUAAUUUUCAUUAUUCCUCCCUUCCCCUCGCCUUUUGCUUGCAUCCCAGCGAGGGAGAACUAAAAGACAAAAUCUCCUCUUCAGUGAAUUUGGAACAGAAACUUCAAAAUAGAUAUCCCAACUUAUGCCUUAAUGUUUGCCCUGGGGGUCAUGCUCUUGAACGCUCUUCAUCCACUGGAUUAAUAAGGCCAAAGGAUUUUUGUCACUGAAAAAAAAUGUUCAGAUUUUACACGAGUUAAGGACUGCUUUGAUUUGUGAAAACUCAUUUUCAGUGUCUAAGUUCUUAUCCAGGAAGAACUCUCCACUGUGAUAAUGGUUAUCUGCAAGUCAGUUUUAACUUGGCACCCUUCACAUUUGGCAGCAGAUUUUAGCUUUACAUAACACUGAGUUAUUAUUAAUGUACCAUAUUGCAGAUUUUAGGAAGGAAUCAAGUUUUCAAGUGUUGGGGUUUUUUUUAAGUCAGGAAAUGCAACAGAUAGGCUUUUUACAGGCAUGUCACUUUAUGCUCUACAUGUCCCGUGCAUUUUAUUAUAUUUCCCUUAAAAUAACAAUCCUUAGGUUAGUGCACAUAUUUAGUAAUCAAAGCCAUCUAUUAUACUGCCUGAAUACAAAAGGUUUCACUCCAUGUUUCAAGAUCUUUUUCAUUCUCCACAUUUAUAACGUGACCCGUGUUAAUAUUGCAUUGGCACUGGUGGGUUUUUUUUAUUUGACACAAGUCUAAGGAUGUCUGAGUGGUCCUGGUUCAAGGUGUCUGUCACAUGAGGUACAGAAUUUCUCUCAGUAAAGACUGCUUUGUUUUUAAAUUCAAGUGAUUCAGAAAAAAUACCUGUGAAAGGCUAAAGAGUAUUCAAGGGUGGUGGAGGAUGCCCUUGGUGACAGCAGUUCAUACAGAGGUGGGUAAAGUGGCGUGAGCCUGGCAUGUAUAUAGGGAUGGCACUUAGUAAUUGCUUAUUCUGUUUGCCUUUUUCGUUGACUGAUGUUUUUAUCUGGCUCUCUGGAGUGAGGUAUGCUGGAUGUACUGUGGCUUUCCAAAAGGAAAUACUGAAGUAACCCACACGGAGCCAUAAGGAAAAUAAACUGUCAUUUCUAACACACGGCACAUGAAGAAAAGCCCUUUCACAUCACUUUGUUUCCUGCUCAAAGCUGUUUCUCAAACUGUAUAAGAUCUCCAGCUCACAUUAUUGUUCUGAGGGGCUUCAUACAAGAAGGGUGUUUUUUGUCUAGCAAGGCUAAUGAGGUCCUAGAGCAAAAAGAUACACAAUAUCAGAAAGAAAACAGCUAAUCUGACAUUACCGUUCAAUGUGUUCAUUCAUUUCUAAAUGCACAUUAAUUUGGUGUAACUUUUCUGUCCUUGUACUAGAAUAGAAAGUAGGACAUCUGUGAGUACAGUAAUUAAACAAGUCAACUAAACCCCAUUUUAACAAAAGGCUUGGCAUGGCCAUGUCCCUACAGGUGCUCUUUCUGUGCCUUCCAAAGCUGGGGUGGGUUCUGCUCUGUGUGCAUCACCAGCCCGUGUCCCUCACACACCAGCCUUGUUAGUGCAGCAAUCGAGCACUGCUGUCACAGGAAAGGACAUCGUGCAUUUCUGGUGUUCCUGGGAUCCAUCAGGACUGCCAGUCUCCCCACCUCCUUUGUGAGGACACAAAUUAAGGGGUUUUGUAGCUGGAGUUGAGGGAUGAGACAUCCUGUCGCUACACGCAGAGGUAACGGAGCCUUUUAGGUCACAGACGUCGCAGAUGUUUCUUUUAGGCCCACAUUAGAAACUUUUGCUCAUACACUGAUGUCAGCCUGGGUCUGAAAAAAACAUAAAUCCCACCUGCCCACUGGAGCUGAGCCAGCACAGUUCCUGGCGUGGACACAGCUGUGCUGCCAGGAAAAGGCUGCUGCCAGAUUAAUCUGUUGGGUUCAGAGCCUGGUGCAACUUCAGUGGCACAAAAUCCCCUCUGGCAGUGCCCUUCCCUGCUGCAGAGCUGUGUGACACUCACAGGGACUGGGACUGCAGACAGAGGCUCCUCAGGGCAGCAGUUGAGAUGGGCCUGGUGUGAGAACAAAGGGGAGACAAAGACACUGAGAAAGUGUCUGAGAACACAGCAAAUCAUUGGCAGGUCUGAUAGGAGGUGUUCCUUUUGACUGCAGGAGCCCCUUCAAAAACUUCCCACUCCAUAAAUCCGUUUUUUUCCCCCCUGGAAGCCACAUUUCCUCUGUGUGCCAGUUUCCACUGGCUGCAGGAACAUGUGCUGAUGGGACUAGGUUUGCUUUGCUUAGAAACACCCAGCAUUUAUUGCCCUUGCACUGGCAGCUAAAUGCUGAAGGGUCUGUCCCAGGAGGACUGCUCUGGAUAGCAGAGAGGAGCUGGGUCUUCAGCCAGACCCUAGUGGGACAGUAAAUGCCUCUGGUUCUCAGCAGAUCCUACAGUAAGAACUCUCUCUGCCUACUUCACAGUCCCAGCAAAAGGACUGCACAAACCCAUAACCCAGCAGUAUAUCAGGUUCAAAGUAUUUCUUCUGUCGUCACAUGCAUCUGCCUUAGGUUAUCAGUAAACCACAGAGAAUUACAGCAGCGAGGAAAUAUUCAAAGGUCAGCCCAGGAUCAGUCUGAGUGACAGGUGGUGAUGGGGGUUUUAUUAGGCUUUCUGUCUCUGGUACCUGUUGAUGUAGGAGUGGUUGAGUUCCUGGGAGCCAGCAGCUCCAGGACCCUUCAGUCUAUGGGGACUUGUUUAAUUACCCUGUCUUCCUGAGAGGAACAUGAGAAAGCUUGGAUGGGUUGCAGCAGUGGCAGAGAAGCAUGACUGUGAUGCUCUUUGACCAAAAUCAGUUGUCCAAAGCAGUUCAGCAUGGAAAAAAUGUCACUGGACAACAAAAACAACAGGAGUUAGUGGAGUGAAGCUGCUGGAGAGGUGAUUGUUCACUGUUUUCUGCAGUAUGAGAAGUAGAGGGCAUCAAGUAGAGUUUAAAUUAGUCAAUACUUAAAAGAAUCUCUGGUUCCUGAGAUAAAUGGUUGUUUCAAUGAAAGUAUUAGAAUUAUUUUUGGUCAAAUAUCAGGAACUAGUCAUGCUAGUUAUUGACACUGUUAUCAAAGAGAUUUGAUAAUGUAGCUAUUUGAAAUCCAUAUCUUAUACGUGUGAAGUUCUGGCAUGACUGGAAUGAAAGUAUAGGUGAGUCAAGCACAGUAAUUUUGACCAAACUGUAGGCUACAGAAAGUUUGCAGUUUUCUAUUCCAACCAAAGACAAAAAAAUGUAAUAAUCCAAGUAUCAGAACUUCUAAACUAAUUUUCUGAAAAAUCAGGUGCUUCAGAACAAUAUCCAAGUCUUAAGACACAGCAAUGGAACAGAACAUGUCAGUGGUUGUGUUUUUUUGGGCAGAGCCUGGCAGGGCAGCAGGCACACCUGUCCUGAGAGCAGUGCUUGGGAAGGGGCAGGGCACAGCCCCUGCAUUCCCACCGAGGGCACAGCCCAGCACCAGCCUGGGGACAAUGGCAGUGCUCCUGUGAGCUCGGAGAGGCAGGAACCAACCACAGCACAACGGGAAACAGAUUUUUUCCAAGCUAGAAAAGCCUUUGCCCCCAAGUAUUUUUAACCCAAGUAUUUCAGAGCAUGUCAGACAAUUGAUCAGCAAUCUGUUGCUGAAGUGAUGUAUUUAUCUGAUGCGUGGUUUCACUUAGCAGCUACAACACGUACAGCAAAGAACUCAAAAAAAAAAAAUGAACUGGAACUCUAUGUAACAACUCUUAUUCAAAACAGAUGUAUUACUUGGUAUAUGUUUAACAUUCUCCUCAUAAUCCCAACUUGAUCCUUAACCAUCAUGCAUUAGAGUGUUGCUUUUAAAGAAGAUGAAAAUGGGCUGCUAAAAUGCUGCCCAUAUAAUCUGAAUUAUUUUCAGCCCUGUUGUUAAAGCUUAGAGAUAAAAUUCUCUUUUGAACUAAGGUUGAAGGCAUCGUGUUUGAUAUAUUGGUAUAAUUCCUGCAAUAUAAAUACUCAUAAAUUAAGUUAGUGGUAUGGUAUGAUUUCCUGUAAUCUGUUUCCAGAAUCAAUAUUUUAUUGAAUGAACUUCUUAUUUUAACUUCUCACUUACUGACCCAGUGGUGCAGCUGUAACGUGUGCUUGAUCACUCACUCUUUUAAAAUCAGAUCUGACUAUGCAGCAGCAUAGAUGUGGCACGGUUUUGGAAGAAUUGCACUUAAUAUUGUGUGGAUAGAGAUUGAAAAUAGCACUAUCACACCCUGAUGUAGAUUCUCCCAUCUUAACAUCCUGUAGUACUUUAGAAAAUGGCCAUGUAAUAUAAUCCCCAUUUUAUAGGCAGGAAAACUGAAGCCAUGAUUAUUUCCUUCUUAAAGGAUGCUUAACUUUAAGCACCUCCUAUAACAUUUACUUUUGUAAAUGUGGAUUUUAUUUUUAAGAAUCCUUUAUACGUAGCAAUUAUCAUUCAGCUAAUUACCCACGAUUCAUUGCAAGCCUCUGCCAGUGAGUGUGUGACCUCUUGCAGAGCAAAAGGCUGUUUGUUCUGAGCAGGUGGAACUGUAUCACCCGUUGGGCCGUGCUGGGGGUGUUGACAAAGGCAGCAGCAGACGAAGAUGCUCUGCAGUACUUUGGGGGCUGGGGUGGUCCAUUGGCACUUCUUUGGGGCAAUGCACAGUUCCUGUGCUGUGUCCCUCUCAGGAACACAAAAACUGCCAGCAAUCAUCAUCAAUCUCUGCAGGUCUCCUGGGAGCCUUGGGUUCCUGCAGCAGAACCUGGUGCUGCAUCUCUAAGCUGCACAGCCAAGAAUGUGAUGAUUUCCCUCUCCUCAAAGAGUUCCUCACUCCCUCUUUUCUUUGCCCUUGCUUGUUCUGUGUCUGUGCUUUAUAGGCUACACCACAUUUAAACACACUGUGGGUUUUGGGGUGGAGGAGGGAAUGUAGGAGUACUAACAGAAAAAUUGCUCUUUUUGUGGUGACCAGAGCAACUGUACUAGAUGAAACUGCUCUUUGUUAUCAGUGUUUAAAAAGUAUUUUCUGAUGUGGUAAAAACUGUUAUAUGGAUGGAGUUCAAGAUGGUGGAGGGCAUGUGAAAGUUUAUUUUAUAAAGGGAAAACUGGAUUGUUUUGUAGUUAGGGGUUCUGUACCUAAAAUGUCUCUACAGAUUAAAUUUCCAAGUUCUUUGUUCUCAGACACUUUGUUUCAGGUGGGCAAAUGGAGAAUGAACAAUGAGGUUUAAGUCGAUGCCUUCACAGAUGCAGUCUGAAUGCCCUGAUUUACACAACAUGGUCUGUAGGUUGAUGAUGCCACCAUAAGACUCCAAGACCUCACAAGUCUAAUCCUGAGAAAUCCCCUGUAGCCAGUGCAUACUGACUUCAUAUGAGCGAGAUAUGAACCUGCCAUCCAGCUUCAGUUUCCUCUGUGGAUUAGUCCAGGACAUCACUCUUGAUGUUUCCAAGGAAUGUAACUCCACGAAGGCUGGUGUCAUUCUCCAGUGGAGUUUAAAAUGGAAUUUAGGAGAUCUGAUAUUCCCAAGGGCAGCCAUGUAGUGCUGCAGCAGGAGGGAAACAGACCUCCAAAACAGGCCACUGUAAGAAAAGAGCAAGGAAAAGCCCAGUCCUGGAAAAUGCACUGGCACUACAAAAAAGUGUGGAAGUCUGGGGAAACAAUGAAUUGGAGCUGAAUAAUAUUAUAUCAGUCCUGUAUGUUUUUAAUAAGUAGUUGGAAGGUCUUCCGUGAGGAGUUUCUGCUCAAUUUUAUCUCAGUCAGGGAUAGAAAUUGUUCAUUUGGUCCCAUAAAGAGCUGAACUUCCUGAGCAGGCACAUGUUGGAAGUUCUCUUACAUUGGCAUAGGAAGCUAUUUUUUUUUUGUAAAACAUUUCACAUUUAUGUUCUUCCAGAAUUAAAGGCACAGGGCCUGCUCCAGAGCCCUCUGCAGUCACUGAUAUCCUCACACUGACCUCUGGGAGCUUUAGGGCUCUCUUUUGGACCUCCUUCUUCCCCCACACCCCCCCCAGCUAGCUGCCAUUUAUAUAACAGAGUUAAAAAUUUGGGGAACUCAAAGCACACAAAGAAUUUGCAGUUUGGGAUAGGAAGGGAAGGAUUCUGCAUCCAACCAAACCAACCCCUGUCUUCCCUGCCACUUACUGCUAAGCAUGAGGAGAGUUUUCCAGCUCUGGGUGGGACUGACAGUUCAUUGCUGGGUUCCUGCUGCUCCUGGGAAACCACCAUUCAUCCAGCCUGCAAUCUGCAGAAUAAAGGAACCAGAUAAUCAAUGACACUCUCCUCUGUCCAUAUUUAAACAUUUAUGGCAUAGAUGUUGACAGAUGAUCUCAUCAUCUAAGCUCCCUUUGUAGUUGACGGAAGGACAAAGACACUUCUGUCUCAUAUUUUUGCAAAUAAACAAAUGGAUAUACACAUAUACAAAUGUAAAGACUCACAAAGGUUAAUUUAAAUGGUAUCAUGACAAAACUUGAAGAAGAGAAUGAGACAUUCUUUCCUGACCUUUUUUUUUUCUCUUGUGCUUUGCCAAUUCAAAGGGAAGUCAGUGUGCUUUGUGCAGACAGAAGUGUAAAUCUUUUGAAACUCCAGCAAAAAAUACAUACAGCAGAUAUAAAUACAAAUAAAAUUCAGGGUAGGUGACACCUUCCUGGAGUAGUUAUGACUGGAUAGUCUGUCUACAACUAGCUGUUAUAUUAAGACUGUGGGAACAUCUACAGUGACAAAGCUGACACUUCAUUUUGGCCGCUUUAAUGAGGUGUUCAGUGUCCUGCUCCUCUGCUGGGCUUUUGCAUCACCAACCCAAAAGCUGCACCAUCACUAACGCAGAGAGAGAGUCUUUUUCUGUCUCGUGUCCAGUCAAUCAGCUUUCCUCCUGUGAUUCAUCCCGCAGUCUCCCUCUGAGGCAGAGCUGCAACCUGAGGGUCACAGACCCCAGGGAGUUCUUUGUUUCCUGAGAAAAGAUGAAACUGCUGCUAUCUUUGAACAAAACCAUUUAUCUUAGUACAGAAACAGUGUCUUGUUCAUCCCCAAAAACUGAGCUGAAGAGAAGUCUCAGCCCUCCCUCAACACAUGCAAUUCUGUCCUUCAUGAAGGUUGCAAAAACAUCUGUCCUGGACACCUGGGAUCACAAGGAGACUGAUUAAAAACCUGGAAGACAGACAUUUCCUAGUCUGAGCUUUCUGCCAUGGAAGCAGGCACCAUAAGGCAAACCUGACUGAUCUCUUGCAAAAAAA